CCAAAAUAUAAGCUAUUUAUAGAGCAAAAUAAAGAAGAGAUUGUAGGAAACGGAGAGGUAGACACUUUGGAGAUGGAGAUAGGGGAUUUGAGGAAGGAAGGAGGGGGAGGGCGAAGGGAGAGUAACACUGAUCAAGGUGUAAUACGUGUGUGUUCCAGUUUCCCAAGGUGAAUGUAAUUUUUGUGUUUCACAGACAUAUACUGAUAAGCAAAAGAAACUUAAGCAAGAAAAAAAAAGCUUGCCUCGCAAGCACAAGGACCCAAGUUUGAUCCUCGGUACCAAAAAAGAAAAAAAAAAAAGCUGAGAAAAUGGAGAUAACCCACUGGCUCCAUAACUUGUGUGUUGGCCAGACAUUUCUGAGUAAUAAAGCAGCAGACCCAUCUCAGUGACAUUGGCUUAGCUCACAGGGCUGAGCUGGCUCAGCUGUGGAUCUCCCUGGACCUGGCUCAUGCAUCAGCACAGCGAGGCUGCCAUAGGCUGUGGUGAGGGAUGUGGUCAGCACCCUGUACUUCUUGUCUGCCUUCGCCCAGCACGUGAGCUGAGGCACGUUCUUUUCUUGAAUGUUUGCACCUCUGGUUGGAGAAGAAUGCCAUGUCCUACCCCUGCGCUCAGACUAUUCCCUAUGACUCAAAGAAAACCUUGGAGUCUUCAAAUCCUCAACCAGAUUGAAGUGGAUUUAUCAGCUUCUUGUGC
rnacentral:lncRNA from 1 species